rnacentral:rRNA from 1 species
GACGAACGCUGGCGGCGUGCUUAACACAUGCAAGUCGAACGGAAAGGCCCUGCUUUUGUGGGGUGCUCGAGUGGCGAACGGGUGAGUAACACGUGAGUAACCUGCCCUUGACUUUGGGACAACUUCAGGAAACUGGGGCUAAUACCGGAUAGGAGCUCCUGCUGCAUGGUGGGGGUUGGACAGUUUCGGCGGUUGGGGAUGGACUCGCGGCUUAUCAGCUUGUUGGUGGGGUAGUGGCUUACCAAGGCUUUGACGGGUAGCCGGCCUGAGAGGGUGACCGGCCACAUUGGGACUGAGAUACGGCCCAGACUCCUACGGGAGGCAGCAGUGGGGAAUAUUGCACAAUGGGCGGAAGCCUGAUGCAGCAACGCCGCGUGCGGGAUGACGGCCUUCGGGUUGUAAACCGCUUUCGCCUGUGACGAAGCGUGAGUGACGGUAAUGGGUAAAGAAGCACCGGCUAACUACGUG